AAUAUUUGACAAUGGGCGAAAGCCUGAUCCAGCCAUGCCGCGUGUGUGAAGAAGGNCUNNGGAUUNUNAAGCACUUUAAGUUGNNNNNAAGGGCAGUAAGUUAAUACCUUGCUGUUCUGACGUUACCGACAGAAUAAGCACCGGCUAACUUCGUGCCAGCAGCCGCGGUAAUACGAAGGGUGCAAGCGUUAAUCGGAAUUAAGUGGUGUAGAGCGCGCGUAGGUGGUUCGUUAAGUUGGAAGUGAAAGCCCCGGGCUUAACCUGGGAAUUGCUUUCAAAACUGACGAGCUAGAGUACGGUAGAGGGUAGUGGAAUUUCCUGUGUAGCGGUGAAAUGCGUAGAUAUAGGAAGGAACAUCAGUGGCGAAGGCGACUACCUGGACUGAUACUGACACUGAGGUGCGAAAGCGUGGGGAGCAAACAGG
rnacentral:rRNA from 1 species